CAAUAGCGUAUAUUAAAGUUGUUGCGGUUAAAAAGCUCGUAGUUGGAGUUCUGCCAGGUGCCGCCUGUCCGCCCCAGUGGUGAGUACGUGGCGCGCAUUUGGCCCUUUCAAGGGGAGCGUAUCUGCACUUUAUUGUGUGGUGCGGGAUCCUUGACUUUUACUUUGAGGAAAUAGGAGUGUUCCAAGCAGGCUCUCGUCGUGCACAGCUCAGCAUGGAAUAAUAGCAUUGGACCUCGAUUCUAAGCUGUUGGUUGCCAGAAGCGAGGUAAUGAUGAAGAGGGAUAGUUGGGGGCAUUCGUAUUUAACUGUCAGAGGUGAAAUUCUUGGAUUUAUGGAAGACGAACUACUGCGAAAGCAUUUACCAAGGAUGUUUUCAUUAA
rnacentral:rRNA from 1 species